AGCCCUUUGAAUAAAUAAAGGGUCACGCCUGCCCAGUGGCUUAAGGCUAAACGGCCGCGGUAUCCUGACCGUGCAAAGGUAGCAUAAUCAUUUGUCUUUUAAAUGGAGACUCGUAUGAACGGCAAAACCUUUUUUAACUGUCUCCCCCUCCAACCUUCUAAAUUUCUAUCUGCGUGAAGAAGCGCAGAAUCACCAGAAAGACGAGAAGACCCUGUCGAGCUUUAGCCAACAGAUGAACAGAAACCAUUCAACUGACAUCAUCCAAAGGCUUUGGUUGGGGCAACCAUGGAGAAAAAGAACCCUCCAGACACAGUAGUAGAACCCCGUUCUCUACUACCACCUAAGAGAACCAGAGACUGGUAAUCGGAAAAAGUUACCGCAGGGAUAACAGCGUCAUCUCCUCUAAGAGUCCUUAUUGACGAGGAGGCUUGCGACCUCGAUGUUGGAUUGGGGCCCCCUUAGGGUGCAGAAGCUCUAAACGGUUAGACUGUUCGUCUAUUAAAGCCCUACG
rnacentral:rRNA from 1 species